AACGCACAUUGCGCCCCUUGGUAUUCCAUGGGGCAUGCCUGUUCGAGCGUCAUUUGUACCCUCAAGCUCUGCUUGGUGUUGGGUGUUUGUCCUCUCCUCUGUGUUUGGACUCGCCUUAAAGCAAUUGGCAGCCAGUGUUUUGGUAUUGAAGCGCAGCACAAUUUGCGAUUCUAGCCCAAAGACUUGCGUCCAUAAGCCUUUUUUAACUUUUGACCUCGGAUCAGGUAGGGAUACCCGCUGAACUUAA
rnacentral:misc_RNA from 1 species